AACGAACGCUGGCGGCAUGCCUAACACAUGCAAGUCGAACGAGACCUUCGGGUCUAGUGGCGCACGGGUGCGUAACGCGUGGGAACCUGCCCUUAGGUUCGGAAUAACUCCCCGAAAGGGGUGCUAAUACCGGAUAAUGUCUUCGGACCAAAGAUUUAUCGCCUUUGGAUGGGCCCGCGUUGGAUUAGCUAGUUGGUAGGGUAAAAGCCUACCAAGGCGACGAUCCAUAGCUGGUCUGAGAGGAUGAUCAGCCACACUGGGACUGAGACACGGCCCAGACACGGGGGGGAGGGGGGAGGGGAUGAUUGCGGAGGUGGGGCAAAAGCGGGAUCCAGAGAUGGGGCGGGAGGGAGGAAAGCCUGAGUGUAGUACAGCUGUGCAACGCGGGAGAAAAAGGACAGUGCCGGGGGAAUAACCCCCGCAAACCACGCGGCCAGCAGACGAGUUAAUGAAACAGGAGCACCCGUCUAAC
rnacentral:rRNA from 1 species